ensembl:lncRNA
CCUCGCGGAAAAAGAAGCGCGAGAAACAGGAGAUGACGGACACAUUUCACGGAACAUCAAGGCAGAAGGUUGUCUUCAGCUGGUCUGAUUCUUUCCCAACCUCCCCUGAGGGAGAACGGAUGGCUUAAUUCUGGAUGAAGAACUUGGAGAAGGCCCUGCCCUCGAAAAUGCAAGGAACAUUAGCAGUUUGAAAAACAAAACACAAACAAAAACCAAGGGGAAAAAAUCUCUCUCUGUCUCAUAAACCUGUUACUGUGACUCAGUGCGUAGGCUCAGUCUGAUUUGCUCCUACUCUCAGAAGAGUAAUGCAAAUACUUCAGUGGAUGAGAAUCUUCCCCCUAGAGUCUCUUCGGCCUCUACUCAUCCCAGGUGUCUCAAUUCUCAGACUCUCAGGGAAAGAAAAGAAACAGGAAUACUGAUUCUCACCCUGGACCAGCAUGGCUUUACAGAUGUCCCUGAACCUCACCCACUCUUUCCACGCCCAUGAAGAGGAAUAAUAACAUCCUUGGCAAAGUCCACGAACAAGUCCCAGGAAAUAAAAGUAGAAUCUGGAUAAUAAAAUAAAGUCUUAAUCUUUUUCCUUCCCC